rnacentral:rRNA from 1 species
UACAGAGGGUGCGAGCGUUAAUCGGAAUUACUGGGCGUAAAGCGCGCGUAGGCGGCUUUGCAAGUCGGGUGUGAAAUCCCCAGGCUUAACCUGGGAACUGCAUUCGAGACUGCAUUGCUAGAGUAUGGGAGAGGGAAGUGGAAUUUCCGGUGUAGCGGUGAAAUGCGUAGAUAUCGGGAGGAACACCAGUGGCGAAGGCGGCUUCCUGGCCUGUUCUUGACGCUGAGGCGCGAAAGCUAGGGGAGCAAACGGG